AAGAUCCCAUGUCACACCUCUCUUUAUCUCCCUGCAAUGGCUUCCGGUUACUGCUUGCAUCAAGUUCAAGACAUUGAUUCUUGCAUAUAGAACAGGCUCAGCACCCACCUACGUGGAUUCACUCUUACAAAUCUACAUCCCCUUCAGAAGCCUGAGAUCCGCUAGUGAGCGAUGCCUUGUGGUACCAUCACAGAGGGGCACAAAAUCACUUUCCUGAAUUUUUCUUUUUUUUUUACCGAUUCUGGCUGGGGGAAUGAUCUGCCAACCCCUAUCCGGAAUGAUGAAUCCAUGGCAUUUUUCAAGCGACAGCUGAAAACACACCUCUUUCAUCAAUAUCUAACUUCAUUCUAUAUAGGGCUGGGUAAAAAUAUUGAUUCAUCAAUGCAUUGCAAUUAUUUGUUUCUAAAUUCAAUAUCGAUUUAUUAAAUCCUAUGAAUCGAUUCAGCCUACCGGCCAGUGGUGGCUCUAUGGGCAAUACUCUAGUGAGAGUGUUCAGCGUUGUACAAGACACACUUUGCCAAAACAGCAAGAUGGCAGACUGCAUCUGCACUCCAAUCAAGCCUGCAUCACCAACGUUAAAAGCCGACGUUUGGGCUCAUUUUGGAUUCCACUGUAAGCCAGGAACAAAUGAAGAGGUGGAUAAAACCAAAGUGGUCUGUAAGCAUUGGCACACCAUUCUUAAAUAUUGUAAGAACACAACUAACUUGUGCAACCACGUAGCUCGACACCAUGCAGAUCUAAUGCAACAAAAACAAUCAAGCGUGGCUAAGCCGGAUGAUUCUAAACAGACACAACUCGACAAAGCCUUUCACUGCAAAUUUCCUUCAGGCUCCGUUCGUGCACAGAAGAUAACAGGAUCUGUGGCCAUCUACAUCUGUAAAGACUUAGGCCCAUAUAGUGUUGUUGAAAACAUGGGCUUUAAAUACAUGGUUAACACACUUGAGCCACGGUACACCAUACACACACGUAAGAAGUGGCCAUGCCAAAACUUUUACAUGGAGGUUAAGACGGAGGUUUGUGAGUCCUUAAUUUCAGCGGAAAAAGUGUCACUUACCUGCGAUGGCUGGACCUCCAGAGCGACCGACCUGUACGUAACCAUCACGUCUCAUUCUAUUUCAACUGAUUGGGUCCUUGUGUCAAACAUCCUGCAGACCAGAGCGCUCUUUCAAAGCCACACAGGGAGCAAUAUUGCUAAAUUGCUCACUGAGGCAAUGAUUGAAUGGGGCUUGAAUGGGAUGAAAGUGCCAGCAAUUGUAACGCAGCUAACAUGCUACAAGCCGUUGGACUGACAGAGACAUUGCACAUUGGCUGUUUUGCAUGUCCUAAACUUGGCAUCACAGGCUGCUCUCAAGUUGCAUGCAGUAUCAAGUCUUCUAGACAGACUUAGGCGGAUCUCCGCAUUUUUCCACCAGAGCACCGUAGCCAGCGCAUUUGACAUGGUGGAAAGAUUUUUAGAACAGCAAGCUGCUAUCUCUGCUGUACUACUUGCCCCUGAGAUAAGAAAGAAAGAAACAGAUCUGAGCUCCCUUACAGAGGCAGACAAACAGCAGCAGAGGCUGUUGCACUGGCUCUGAAGCCACUGAAGAAAGCCACCUUAGUCAUAUCUCAAGAAGGAACCCCAAGUCUCUCUGUCAUUACCCCUCUGAGAGCAAGACUUCUGGAAGAGAUGCAUCCGGUCCCGAGUGAUCCUGUGAUGGUGAAGGAGAUGAAACCUGCUGUGCAUCAGGAUCUCCAGAAAAAGUACAUAGGCUUAAAGGAACAACUCUACUUAGCUUCUGCCCUGGACCCACGCUUUAAGGUCCUGUCUUUCUUAACUGAUGAUAAGCGUGAGGAAGUCUUCACCCAACUCACUUAUAACACUAAGACACUGGCAACUGAAAAAAGCUCAAGUGGACCAAUAAAUGCAGAGGCCAAGCUGAACCAGCUGAGGACUCUGGACCCCCAUCCAAGAAGAAAAGAGACUCUUGUGCAUUGGCAGAUCUCCUUGGGCAAACAUAUACUCCAGAAGCAGAC